CCCUGGGUGGCUAAGAUGGUAAAGAGUCUGACUGCAAUGCAGGAGACCCAGUUUCAAUUCCUGGGCCAGGAA
rfam:TPA: Bos taurus chromosome 3, whole genome shotgun sequence.